rnacentral:rRNA from 1 species
AUUGAACGCUGGCGGCAGGCCUAACACAUGCAAGUCGAACGAGUGGCGGACGGGUGAGUAAUGUCUGGGAAACUGCCUGAUGGAGGGGGAUAACUACUGGAAACGGUAGCUAAUACCGCAUACCAUCGGAUGUGCCCAGAUGGGAUUAGCUAGUAGGUGGGGUAACGGCUCACCUAGGCGACGAUCCCUAGCUGGUCUGAGAGGAUGACCAGCCACACUGGAACUGAGACACUGUCCAGACUCGUACGGGAGGCAGGAGUGGGGAAUAUUGGAAAAUGGGCGCAAGCCUGAUGCAGCCAUGCCGCGUGGAUGAAGAAGGCCUUCGGGUUGUAAAGGACGUUCAGCGGGGAAGCGUUACCCGAAGAAGGAGCACCGGCUAACGCCGUGCCAGCAGCCGCGGUAAUUC